UACGUAGGGUGCAAGCGUUAAUCGGAAUUACUGGGCGUAAAGCGUGCGCAGGCGGUCUGUUAAGACCGAUGUGAAAUCCCCGGGCUUAACCUGGGAACUGCAUUGGUGACUGGCAGGCUUUGAGUGUGGCAGAGGGAGGUAGAAUUCCACGUGUAGCAGUGAAAUGCGUAGAGAUGUGGAGGAAUACCGAUGGCGAAGGCAGCCUCCUGGGCCAACAUUGACGCUCAUGCACGAAAGCGUGGGGAGCAAACAGG
rnacentral:rRNA from 1 species